rnacentral:rRNA from 1 species
UGCGUAGGCGGAAGAUUAAGUCAGUGGUGAAAUCCUGCAGCUCAACUGUAGAACUGUCAUUGAUACUGAUCUUCUUGAAUACAGUUGAGGUAGGCGGAAUAUGUAAUGUAGCGGUGAAAUGCUUAGAUAUUACAUAGAACACCGAUUGCGAAGGCAGCUUACUAAACUGUGAUUGACGCUGAGGCACGAAAGCGUGGGGAGCGAACAGGAUUAGAUACCCUGGUAGUC